rnacentral:rRNA from 1 species
GAUGAACGCUAGCGGCAGGCUUAAUACAUGCAAGUCGAGGGGCAGCAGGACUGUAGCAAUACAGUUGCUGGCGACCGGCAAACGGGUGCGGAACACGUACGCAACCUACCCAAAACUGGGGGAUAGCCCGGGGAAACCCGGAUUAAUACCUCGUAACCUUUUUAAGUGGCAUCACUUGAUAAGUAUAGCUCCGGCGGUUUUGGAUGGGCGUGCGCCUGAUUAGGUAGUUGGUGCGGGUAACGGCCCACCACGCCUGCGAUCAGUAACUGGUGUGAGAGCACGACCAGUCACACGGGCACUGAGACACGGGCCCGACUCCUACGGGAGGCAGCAGUAAGGAAUAUUGGUCAAUGGACGCAAGUCUGAACCAGCCAUGCCGCGUGAAGGAUGAAGGUCCUCUGGAUUGUAAACUUCUUUUAUGGGGGACGAAACCCGGAUAUUCUUAUCCGAUUGACGGUACCUCAGGAAUAAGCACCGGCUAACUCCGUG